UUACGGCCAUAGCGCGUUGAAACACCGGUUCUCGUACGAUCACCGAAGUUAAGCAGUGUCGGUACUUGUUUGUACCUAUAUGGGUGACCGCUUGGAAAUAUCAAGUGCUGUAAG